AAACUGCUUUUAUAUAGGAAGAAAAACUUUCUCGUGAGAAAGCUUGACGGUACUAUAAGAAUAAGGAUCGGCUAACUCCGUGCCAGCAGCCGCGGUAAUACGGAGGAUCCAAGCGUUAUCCGGAAUCAUUGGGUUUAAAGGGUCCGUAGGUGGACAAAUAAGUCAGAGGUGAAAUCCUGCAGCUCAACUGUAGAACUGCCUUUGAUACUGUUUGUCUUGAGUUAUUAUGAAGUGAUUAGAAUGUGUAGUGUAGCGGUGAAAUGCAUAGAUAUUACACAGAAUACCGAUUGCGAAGGCAGAUCACUAAUAAUUAACUGACACUGAGGGACGAAAGCGUGGGUAGCGAACAGGAUUAGAUACCCUGGUAGUCCACGCCGUAAACGAUGGUCACUAGCUGUUUGGACUUCGGUCUGAGUGGCUAAGCGAAAGUGAUAAGUGACCCACCUGGGGAGUACGUUCGCAAGAAUGAAACUCAAAGGAAUUGACGGGGGCCCGCACAAGCGGUGGAGCAUGUGGUUUAAUUCGAUGGUACGCGAGGAACCUUACCAGGGCUUAAAUGUUAGGUGACAGAUCUAGAAAUAGAUUUUUCUUCGGACACUUAACAAGGUGCUGCAUGGUUGUCGUCAGCUCGUGCCGUGAGGUGUCAGGUUAAGUCCUAUAACGAGCGCAACCCCUGUUGUUAGUUGCCAGCGAGUAAUGUCGGGAACUCUAGCAAGACUGCCAGUGCAAACUGUGAGGAAGGUGGGGAUGACGUCAAAUCAUCACGGCCCUUACGUCCUGGGCUACACACGUGCUACAAUGGUAGGUACAGAGAGCAGCCAAUGCGCGAGCAUGAGCAAAUCUAUAAAACCUAUCUCAGUUCGGAUCGGAGUCUGCAACUCGACUCCGUGAAGCUGGAAUCGCUAGUAAUCGGAUAUCAGCCAUGAUCCGGUGAAUACGCUCCCGGGCCUUGUACACACCGCCCGUCAAGCCAUGGAAGUUGGGAGUGCCUGAAGUCCGUUUCCGCAAGGAUCGGCCUAGGGUAAAAUCGAUAACUAGGGCUAAGUCGUAACAAGGUAGCCGUACCGGAAGGUGCGGCUGGAACACCUCCUUUCU
rnacentral:rRNA from 1 species